ensembl:lncRNA
AUUAGUAAGGCGGCUUUCCUUUUCGUAAUGCAAAUGCUUUGCAGGUACUUGGAAGAAGCUCAAGACGGGUUAAAGCAGUUACGAAGGGGCUUAAAAGAGACGCUGAUCUGGCCUUCGCUAACUGAGAGGAAAGACACAAUUCCCCUCCUCUUUCCAAGAGCAUGUGAUGUACAGCGCACACCACAGGAGCAGGACAGCAAAGAGUGGAGAUGCUCUCAGUGAGGAGGAACAAGCAGUUUAUCACAUGCAGAGCGGAGACUGCGGGUCGGGAUGUCGGGUUGGACCAGGUCCUGGAUGUAAGCUGGACCCCAUCCAUUCACAGCAUGGUACGUGAGCACCAUGAGGACUUAGGAAGGUUAAAGAGCAGUGGAGCUGCUGCAUUGUGGAUGAGCUGCAGAGGUGGAAUGGUGGUAGCAGGAGACCUGCAGGAGAGAGUUACAGUAGUCCAGGAGGGAGACGACAAGAGCCUGAAUCAGUACCUCCUUCGGAGUGAGAAGAGGACGUGUUCUCCUGAUGUUGUAGAGCGUAUCUACAGGAUGGUGUUGUCAGUGAUCUUGGGAGUCAGGGAGAGUCGGCUGUCGAGUGUCACGCCGAGGUUCCUAGCAAUCAAAGUGGGCGUUAACACGGAGUUGCCAAAGUUGAAAGUCAAGUCCUGGGUCGGAGAGUCUUUUCAGUAAUGGGGCAGCCGGGAUUCGAACCACCAAUCUUGCGGUUCCCAGCUCACCCGCUCUACCCCCCUGCGCCACGACGACUCCACUAUGCUUCUUUAAAAUAACAACAAUGUCCUAAUUGAAUAAAAGUUGUAUUAUUAUAAUUGAAAAUGUCUCAAUUACCUUUCCGCUGUUAUAUUGUGCUUUCAAUUCUCUUGUUUGGAAACAAGUGUCAACUCCUAGUAUAAAGUCAAUCCGUCAGAUGGUCUUGGAGAAGAUAAAGUGUCCAACACAGGACGACGACGAAGACAGUGACGUCUCUUUGGAGGAUACAUGUCGGACCACAG